rnacentral:rRNA from 1 species
UACGUAGGGUGCGAGCGUUGUCCGGAAUUAUUGGGCGUAAAGAGCUCGUAGGCGGUUUGUCGCGUCGGCCGUGAAAACCUGCAGCUUAACUGUGGGCUUGCGGUCGAUACGGGCAUCACUGGAGUUCGGCAGGGGAGACUGGAAUUCCUGGUGUAGCGGUGAAAUGCGCAGAUAUCAGGAGGAACACCGGUGGCGAAGGCGGGUCUCUGGGCCGAUACUGACGCUGAGGAGCGAAAGCGUGGGGAGCGAACAGG